AUUUUUAACUUUUUAUCCAAUUUAACCCAAACAUUUCAAUUUAAGCUCAAUAUAGCCCAAAAAUUAAAAUUUAUGAGCUAAAUUUCUUUAUUUUUUUAUUUAAAUAAAAAAUCAAGAAUAUCAAUUUCUUGAUUUUGAGACUAAAUUUCUUUAUUUCUUGAUUUAAACCCAAAAAUUAAGAGGUUUAAUUUCUUGAUUUUUUUUAUUUUUGAGUUAAAUUGAGCUUAAAUUAAAAAUUUUGGGCUAAAUUGGACAUAAAGUUGAAAAUGGGCUAAAUCAAACUUUCACAAUAAAUAUAAGGGUGUAAUUGAGCUUUAAGCUAAUUCUAAAUACCUUGUGCCAUGGGUGAGCUUUA
rnacentral:misc_RNA from 1 species